GGCGGAGUGGUUAAGUUCACGCACUCAGCCUCGGCGGCCCAGGGUGUCACUGGUUCGGAUCCUGGGCACCGUUCAUCAGGUCAUGCUGAGGCAGCUUCCCACAUAGCAGAGCCAGAAGGACCUACAACUAGAAUAUACAACUGUGUACUGGGGGCUUUGGGGAGAAGAAAAAGAAAAGCAGAUUGGCAACAGACGUUAGCUCAGAUGUGUGUGUUCCUUUAUGGUGACUUUCUCCACAUGCCUUUCAACACCUUCCAUCUGUAGAGAAGCCAACCUGCUCAAGUCAAUACUUGUCAUCCUCGAGGAAGCAGCCAUACUGUGAGCAGCCCUACAGAUAGAACCACAUGGUGUGAUGAGGAGCUCAGGCCUUCUGUCCAACAGCACAAGAGGAACUGAGACUCUCGAGCCAACAGCCUGCAAGGAACUGAAGCCUGCCAACAACCAUGUGACCGAGCUUGGAAGCUAGUGCUUCAGCCUCAGUUGAGUCUUGAGAUAACUGCAGCCCCAGCGAACAGCUUGACUGCACCCUCCUGAGAGAUCUUGAGUGAAAGCUAGAAGUUUACUUCUCAUCCAGUUAACAGUCCAGGCCUACCAACGGGGUUCUUCCAUACUUGCAAGUGGUUCCCAUCCCUGUGUCUCAGGCAAUUGUUUAAAUUUCUCCUUCUUCAAACUAGAAAGACAGGGGAGAAGGACCAGAAGGAAUACAAACCCAAUCCCUUAAGGAGCAAGACUUGUAAGUGGCACAUAUCCAUUUCACUCACAUCCCAUUAGCCAAAAUUUGAUCCCAUGAUUAUACCCAGCUGCAUAGGAGGUUUGAAAAUCCCAACGUCAUUUAUCGAUCAUUCAUUCCUUUCCUCCUAUCGCCAGAGUAUUUCAUUCAUUCCACUUUUUUAAACAUUUUAUACAGUUUUAUCAUUACUUUUCUUUCUGAACAAACUCUAAGCUGAUUUUUUACUGUCUCUG
rnacentral:lncRNA from 1 species